GACGAACGCUGGCGGCGUGCCUAAUACAUGCAAGUAGAACGCACAGUUUAUACCGUAGCUUGCUACACCAUAGACUGUGAGUUGCGAACGGGUGAGUAACGCGUAGGUAACCUGCCUGGUAGCGGGGGAUAACUAUUGGAAACGAUAGCUAAUACCGCAUAAUAUUGAUUAUUGCAUGAUAAUUGAUUGAAAGAUGCUAUUGCAUCACUACCAGAUGGACCUGCGUUGUAUUAGCUAGUAGGGGAGGUAACGGCUCACCUAGGCGACGAUACAUAGCCGACCUGGGAGGGUGGUCGGCCACACUGGGACUGGGACACGGCCCAGACUCCUACGGGAGGCAGCAGUAGGGAAUCUUCGGCAAUGGACGAAAGUCUGACCGAGCAACGCCGCGUGAGUGAAGAAGGUUUUCGGAUCGUAAAGCUCUGUUGUAAGAGAAGAACGGGUGUGAGAGUGGAAAGUUCACACUGUGACGGUAUCUUACCAGAAAGGGACGGCUAACUACGUG
rnacentral:rRNA from 1 species